CUGUAAUCCCAAACAGUUGUACUAGCUCAUAACUAAUAAGGUCAUAACAGUCAAAUGUCGUUAUGCAGUUGACCAAACUAUAAAGUUUUGAGCUCUGUUGAGAUUUGUGUCACUUUAAUUGAAUAGGGCUCAGUAUUUUAGAGUUAAUUUGUGUGGAACGCUCAAAAAGUUUAGGAACCAUGUAUUAGCGUGGUGGGUGGGUCUUAUCGCUCCCUCAGGAAAGCUGAGUCAGCCAUCUUGAAUUUGCCUUGAUGCGGGUGAAGUUUUGGCAAGCUCAUGUGGAUGUGGAACACAGUUUAAUUUGUUUUUAAUUGUUUAUAUCUGUUUGGAAUGCGUACUUUUAUACCCCCGCUUCAAACCACCACCACCUCAGUUAUUUUCAUUAGUCUUAUUGCUCUCAUUUUCUUAAGCGCUGUCUUAUCAUCAGCCCUGAUUUGUUCAUCUUACAGCAGUGUAACGUUAUCAGCGGGUUUCCUGGAUGAACUACAUUACCCAUAAUGCAUGUUUGCCCGGGACAUUGACGGUUGAGGAAGGUCCAUGAGUUUUGAAUUCUCUGGCGGAGUCCGAAAGCAUAACGUUAUCCCUGAUUCCCGCCGUUUUCGCUGUUCGUCGUUAAUGCAUGCUCAAGUGUGUGGUU